rnacentral:lncRNA from 1 species
GAAAUAAUUCUAUAACAUCAUCUUCAUUAGGAAGCUUAUCAAGUAUAAGACCCGAUGUGGUGGUGUACUUACUCCUUGGGAUCUCAAAUUUGGAAGGUAUAAUUAAGAUAUCUUCAUUUUCAUCAGGUUUUUUCUUUUGAAUAGCAAAGUAUAAACAUAAGCAUGCAGUGAAGAUGAUGAACAGGAGAAAUCGGUUUGAGGUGUAGGAAAUCUUCAUUUUUUGUUAGAAAAAAGUUGAAGAUAAAACUUUGUGUGUUUUUUAAAAGUCAGUUCCACAUAUUUAUAGAAUAUAAGUUAAGAUGUCAAGUUCUACUUCACAGAUUAUAUUUUUUGAUAUCCUAAAGUUAAUCAUUAGCCAAUUUUAUAUGAACAUUUGAAAGAGCCUGAGAUCACCUCUUUCCAUUUUCAUGCUUUGAAUAUCUAUAUUUUUUUUCUAUUUUGUUUUUCAAAACUGUCCAACGAUUACAAAUAAAAAAAUAAAAAAUUAAUGCUGUCUAUGCGUUGUUUACCUAAGUAUCUUUGAGAAAUAUUUAAAUUGGGGAGUUAAAACCAUAAGAAGUAGAAGAUGAAAGAUGGAGAAAUAAUAAUAAUAAAAAAAUUACAAACAUAAAAAAUAGAAGAUGAAAAAAGACGAAGAAAAAAAUAUACAAAAUUCAUAGAGUUUUUGGUUAUACAAUAUUAGUUUUAAAAAAUUAAAUGUUUUUAUGAGUAAUUUUUUGUCUCACAUUAAACAUGAAAAAAAGUUAUGAGGCACUUACUUUAGAAAAUGCUACUAUAUACAAUACUGAAUUUUAAAUUUUAAGAAUAUUUUUUAUAUGAAUUAUUUUUAUUAGAUUUUUUAAUUUUUUUUCUCUAAUAAAUAUUUUCAUUUCUUUUACUAUUUAUCUUCUUUUCUUUAUUAUUUCUUCUCUCACAUUUCAUAUUUUUAUUUGUAUUUAUGCACACUAUAUGGAAAACGAAGCAAAUAAAGGUUAGUGACUAAGAUUAAUUUAGAUGUCAUUAAAUUUUUUCUAUUUUUAUUAUUUAUACACUUUUUUAAUCUUUUAUUUUUUACCAUCUUUGCAGUGGUGUGUGUAACCUAUACAUCCUUUUUGAGAGUCGACGGAAGAAACACUGGAAUUGAAGAUAACGGUAAAAUGAACGAAUAACUGUAAAAUGAACCGAAAAAAAUAAGAUUCACCAAUUUAAGAGGAUCAUAUAGGAUCUAGAUCUGUACUAUUUUUUCACUUUGAUCUAGUUUUUCAUUUUUGAUCAAUUUUCUCAGUUUGAUCAACAUAUAUUUUAUGUCAGACUCUUAAAAUUUUAACCACAAAAACUUUAACUUAUAAAAACACAAUACUUAUUAAGAGAGAUUUUUUCAUAAAAAUAAGUACGUGUUUAUUUUAUUCGAACUUUAUUUUAUUGAUGUUUAUUUUAUAUAAUUAUAUAUUAAUUGUGUCUAAUUUAUCACUUAUUUAAUUUAAAAUUAAACACAAAUAUAUAUUGCAAAAUUUAGUUCAUAAAUAAUUUAAAUUAGAUGGAAUCCGCAGUCUCUUUUUAUAAUCACAUAAUAGUCUUAUUUUAUUGUGUUCAAUGAGAGAUCUUAAUAUAUUCAAAUCAAAAUGUCAACGGCUCUUAUUAUAUUACAAAUAUUUAUUGCAAUAGAAUACAAGUUAGCUUCCACGAAGAACAAUGCUAACAUGUAACCUACUCUGGCUACUUAAUUGGUUUGUAGAACAAUGCUAACAUGUAACGUACUCUGGCUACUUAAUUGGUUGGUGUAUCGUUUUUGCAUUUUAAUUGUCAAUUUUUUUACACCAACGCUAUUUUAUCUACUAAAUCGAUUAAUCUGAUUUGAGAUCAGUUCUGUCGUUAAAUUGUUUCAACCAAUCAAAUUGUCACAUUUUUACUAAAAGAUUUAUCAAUGCAAAUAAUUGUAAGAUUUAUCAUGUCUCUUUUGAUUCUAUAAUUUAUUUUUCAAAAAUACUAUAAAGUUUAAAUUUUAUUUUUUGAUAUUAUUAAUAUUAAAUAAAAUUAUUCAGAAUAUUUUACAAUAUAUUUUUGCAAAGCUAAAUAACUGAAAUUAAACAUUUAUGUAAAUUUCUAUUAAAUAAAUUAAAACUAAUUUUUUACAAUUUUCACAUAAAAUAAAAAGUUUUCACUUCCUAUAUUUGAAUUUUUCUCAAAUAAAAAUAGAAAAUGUUUAUGUCAAUGCAUCUACAACUUUGAAUAUUAUGGUAUCUUCACUUUCAUGUAUCUUCAUCUAAAUUAUUCCUGAAAUCAUAGGUAAAUAUUCAUCAAAAUAUAUACUUUAAAAUAACCCUAAAUGUAAGUUUUAACAUGUUGCAGACAUAAUAUGAAGAGAUCUAAAUUUAAUUUGUUAUUCUCUCCGAUAUGAUAUGAAGAGAUGUAAGUUUUAACAUGUUGCAGAUAAAAUAUGAAGAGAUCUAAAUUUAAUCAGUUAUACUCUAUAAUAUGAACAGAUGUAAGUUCUAACGUGUUGUAUAGACAAAAAUAACAGUUAUUCUCUACAAUAUGAAGAAGAGAUGCAACUCGACUGCAAUAUCAACAUUGGCAAAAUCCUCUAAGUUUUUUUUCGAUUCUAUUUCAUUUCAAAAUUCAAAUAAAUCAUUUUCAAUUAAAAUCAUUUUUUUAGUUAAUAAGAUUGAUUGAUUGAUUAAUUUAAUAAAAUCUGAAUUAAUUAAUUUCAUUUCUAUUUGAUUGCCUAAUCAUGCAUUGCUAAUCAUGGCUUACUUGUGCAUUUGAGGUCAACUCUGCAAUUAAGUAAUAAGACAGAUUAAAAUAAACAUUUUCACUAAACACAUCCAUUGGUCCAACACCAAACGAAUCUUUUCUCAAAAUAUUUCAUCUGUUUCGAUUCAAUUCAAAUUCGAACCUCUUUCUCAAUUAAUUACAAUUCCAGUCCAAGCCAAUUUCAUUAUCGACUUCAAACCAUUUCAAAACUACUUUCAUAACCAAACCAUAUCAAACUCAUUUUCACAACAACACUGAUGAAAAUGGAAAGAUGGAUGUAAAGUUUCUCUUUCCCCGAAUAUUUGAGCAAUGUUGUAGAGUUAUAUGUCCGAACAUUCAUCUUCCAUUCUAAAAACACAUUAAUUAUUAGGACUAAGUUUGAUUCUCUUAUAAAAUGAAAAAGACUGAUUGGGUUUAGACCUUCCUUAGUCUUUGAUUAUUUGGACACUACUGUAGAGUUCCCUGUGCGAAUAAUCGUCUUCCAUAAAGGAACCAUGACUUAAUUUGCCACAUAUUCUUUCAUAAUAUUUGAAAAGAAAAAGGAUUGAUUGUGUUUAGACCUUCCUCAGUCUCCGAUUAUUUGAACACAGUUGUAGAGCUCCCUGUUUGAAUACUCAUCUCCCAACUCUAAAACAUACUCAAACACAUUAACCAUAAUUCCUCUCCCCUGUCCGAUCAUCAACUUCUUUUUGCAAAAGGACAUUGUUUAGUUCAUUCUAAUAUGAAUACAAACUAAUGCUUAAGUCUCCACCGCGAGCAAGCAAGCCCAUGUUUAACCAUUAUAAUAUGAUCUAAGCACUUGCUCAUUAAAACAAAAUUCAAUCAAUCAAACUAUAUUUUCUCGCCCCCGUGCGAUUGAAAACCUUUUCACAAAUGAACAUUGUUUAGUCCUUUCAAACGCGUAUACAAACUAGCACUUAAGUCUCUCAUGCACGAGCAUACAACUAAAUGUUUAAACUGCAAGAACGCGGUCAAAUAUAAUCCUUUCUACCGCAAAAAAAAAACUCUAAGUCUCUCAUCUGCGAGAAAAAAAAGUCAAUGUUUAACCGUUAGAAUGCGACCUAAACAUUCAUCCUUUAAAAUAAAUCAACCAACACUCGUUUUCUACCAAGAACUACAUAACUUUGAGUUCUCCAUAGCAUUCGGAGAUACAUAGGAGUGAGAUUCACGUCUCGUCAAGCACUAUAACAAAAAAAAACCAAAAAUAUAUUUUGUCUUUGCCCCAAACUACGAAGUUUUGAAUUCCAUUGUACCAGAGGAUACGAAGGAGCAAGACUCGCAAUCUUGUCAAGCACCAUAAUAAAAACAUUUUUGCGACCCUUAUUAUUUUCCUUUUGCAUUUUUAUCAUUCCAAGAAAAUAAUUAACAUAAGCUAAUAUUCAAUCGCAAGUUUAACUAAAAGGUUCCUUUUGAGUACAACAGACGUGACGUAUGCUAAUACCCGCCCAUUGCUUAAUCGACUCCCUAACCCGAAUAUGGUUGCGACGACCAUCUUCUUUUCUUUUUAAAAAGUUGUAUCGAUAUUUCCCUUUUUCUUUAUUGGAAUAAAUAAAGUUCGGUGACAACUCUAUUCGAAUCAUUUUUUCCACGACCAUCUCGAAGGAUCGUAUUUUUUGAAAUGCGAUAAGAGGGAAUUUAGUUUUCAAAAAAAGUGAGGAAAACAUAAAUUAAUUUAGAGUAAGAGGGGUAAUUUGGAGUAACAGGGAGAAGUAUGAUGCAAAAUUAGAUUUUUUUACCUCAAAUGUAUUAAUUCUGAAAAGUCAAUUCCCAAUAUAUCCAUUUUUAAAAAAAAAAUCCCCUUGUUUCUAAAAAUGGUGGUCCAUUCAUUAGUCGAGGAUGUGCAUGAGUUUUUUUUGUAAAGAGAACCCUCGGCCAAUGGCCGAGGAUGUGCAUGGGCUGAUGUACAUUAAAAUAAGAAUCAAAAUCAAAAGUAAUAAAAUAUUCAAACCCUGGUCCAAUGAAUGGUCGAGGGUAUACAUAAAAAAAAAUUUAGGGGCACUCGACCAAUGAAUGAACGAGUCUCUUCUUCAAAUAGGAUAUCAUGGAAUUUUUAUUUUCUAACGGAAACAAAUUAAAAAAUUUGUUUCAGAAAGAGGGUAAGACAGGUAAAAAUUUGCAAAAUUGAAAUAAGUUAUGUAAAUUAUUAUAAAUAUGUCAAAAAAAUCUUGUUAGACUUUAAUAUAAUUUAGGUUUUUCCUUAUUUAGUAAUGCAAGUUUAGUCUAUCAAAUUUUUAUCUAUUUUUUAUUGAAUUCUUAUAUACAAAAUAAAAUACUAAAAUAUAUAUUGUGAUCUAUAUAUUUUAUUUGAUUGAAUCAAAUUAAAUUUAUCUCUAUUAAUUAAUUUACUCAACUUAAUAUUUAAAAAUUAAAAUUUUAAUCAAAUUUAUAUUUAUAUUUUUUAUUAAUUAAAAUUUAUAAUUUUUAAUAUAGAUACCAAAUUUUUUUUAAUAAAAAGAAAUUAUUUAUAAAAUAAUAUAUUAUUGAUUUUUAUAAAAAAAAAAUGUUACUCUAAUAUAAAAAAAUGAAAGCUAUAGUGUUAUCAAAUAUAAUUUAAGCUAGAAUGUCAAUAAUAUUUUUCAAGUUUUAAAGUUUUGUUUAACAUAAAAAAGAAAUGUUAGAGAUGAAAUAAUUCCCUUACAAACUUCUUUAUUGGUAAGGGGUAUCAUAUUUAUGACACAAUAUGUCACGGAAGUAUUAGAGAAGAAUAAAAUUUAAAAAUCUCUCACUGAAUUUAAUCUUACAAAAUUUUGAGGGAUUUUAUGAAGAAUUUUUUGUGACGGAAUAAUUUCACCUCUAAUGUUUAUCCAUUUAAAUUUUAUGACGAUUAUAGUUUUUUCUCACUAAAUUCAUAGAAGGAUUUAUUUUCCUCUGUAAUUUCCGUCUCUAAAUUGCAUUUUUUUGGUAAUGAUUGUUAAGGCAUGCUUUGAUUGAUUGGCAAAGUUUUCAUGAGGAUUAACGAUGUUUCAUAUGGAUAGGUGAAUUGACAAUAUCUUAUUCGUGGUUAGUAUAUAAAUGGAUAACAAAGAUUUAUUACUUAAUUUUUUUUUGAUAAAUUGGACAAAAAAAAGUUCCCCUUGAUUGCUAGCUCAAAUGAGGUAAUAUGACAUAAAAUAAAAUAUAAAAUAAAAUAUUCAAAAAUGCAUUUGAAGGAAUUCAAAAGGGAGGUUGAUUAAUACUUUCCCCCUCGAUUGCUAGGUCAAUCGAGAUAAUAGAUCAUUAAUAAAAAUAAAAUAUAAAAUAAAAGAUGAUAAAAUGCAAUUGUUAGGAUUGGAAGGCAUGUCUCCUUAGUAUUUUUCCCUCGGUUGUCAUGUUGAUGAAAUUCAAACGCUUAUACGCUAAAUACUUUUUUCCUUGGUUGUCAAUUCAACUGAGAUAAUAAGUCAUAAAUAAAAGUAUUUCAAAAUAAAUAAAAUUUGCUAUAAUGAAAUUGUCGGAACUAGUAAGUGUGUCUCCUAAAUACUUUUUCCUUCAUUUUUUAGCUCAAUGAAAUGAAAGAUUUGAUAUAGAAUAUAUUAUUUAUAGUAGGGUUUGUUUUGUUUGUUUUGUUUUUCUCUUAUUACUCCGGUUCAUUCCUGCUUGCCACCUCCAAUCAUCUUGUAGUUCAUAGAGUGUGUGUGUGUGUGAUGUUUUGUUGAUUUUGUGGUUGUUAUUUUGUGUGAAAUUGGUCGAAGAUUGGUGUUGAUUAGUGAUGUUGGGCCAGUUUGUUUUACCUUUAAAAAAAUGGAUUUUUUCUUUGUAUUUUUGAAGAUGGAUUCUACAAAAAUGUUUUUCAAAAUAUUACAAGUUUUUUUUAAUUUAUUUUUUAUAAAUUAAAAGAUUAAAUUGUUCAUUCAAUAACAUAAAUAUACAUUAUUGAAGAUCAAAACAUAGUCAAAAUCACAAUUUUUUCAAAAAAUUGUAUCUCAAAAAUGAUUUUCAUGAAAAGCUAUUUAAAAUAGCUUCAAAAUUAAGUGAUUUUUUGAAAUUUUGAUAUCCAAUUUUUUUUCGAUAAAAUAAUGAAAUAACUAAAAUAACAUUUUAAGAAUAACUAUUCAAACCAAAUUUUCAUUUGAAGCUUUUAUGAAAAGUUUCUUUGUAAAUUUUUUUUUACACUAAAAUAUGUAACACUAUAAAAAUCAUUUUUAAAAAAAGCCAAAACAAACGGGUCCGUUGUUGGUUAGUGUCUGAUUUUAGGUUUUAGGUUUAUGAAAAUUAGAAAGAGGUUGGAGCUAUCUCUUUAGCAUUUUUCAUUAAUAAUGUUUCAAUUAAAAAUAUAAUACAUCAAGAAUAACAAUCAUACAUUACAAAAAAUAAAAUAACGAUCAUGAACAAGAGAAUUGACAUAUUCAAAACAACAUCGAGAAUAACCCCAUAACAAACUCUAGACUCAGAAAACCAUAAACCUUGCUUUAAUUUAUUCUUCAAAUGUAGUCUUUUAAUUUUUGACUGGAAAAGAAGCAUGAACAUUGGUUCCACACACUCCAUACUCUUUAUUAUAGUCUCUUUUGUUCCACAUAUAACCCUGUAUUUCCCAUGUUAUCCCAUGUGAGUUCUUCACAAUCCAAUAAUCUUCAUUGUUUUCGGAAUUAUAACCCACUAUUACCAUGCUGUGAGUUACAUUCAUAGGAUCCAACGGGCAAUAUUCAUCUUUAAAUAUUCCCUGUUAAUGGAUAAAUACGUUCUUCAUUAACAAAUGUAAAAAUACUUGAAAACACUGUAGGAGAUGUUUAAAUUAUAGUUGCAAUCGCAGUUGUGUAUGUGUCAAUCAAUCUUGGUAGACUCUUCCAUUUUCUUUCUUCCAUACUUGAAAUAAUUCUAUAACAUCAUCUUCAUUAGGAAGCUUAUCAAGUAUAAGACCCGACGUGGUGGUGUACUUACUCGUUGGGAUCUCAAAUUUUGAAGGUAUAAUUAAGAUAUCUUCAUUUUCAUUAGGUUUUUUCUUUUGAAUAGCAAAGUAUAAACAUAAGCAUGCAGUGAAGAUGAUGAACAGGAGAAAUCGGUUUGAGGUGUAGGAAAUCUUCAUUUUUUGUUAGAAAAAAGUUGAAGAUAAAUGUUUGUGUGGAAAGAUAUGUAUUCUUUAAAAGCCAAUUCCAC